rnacentral:rRNA from 1 species
GACAGAGGCCUCGAGCGUUAGGCGGAAUCACUGGGCUUAAAGCGCGCGUAGGCGGUCUGUUAAGUGGGAUGUGAAAUCCCCGGGCUUAACCUGGGAAUUGCAUUUCAAACUGGCCGACUAGAGUACGGUAGAGGGAGGUAGAAUUUCCUGUGUAGCGGUGAAAUGCGUAGAUAUAGGAAAGGGAAUACCAGUGGCGAAGGCGGCCUCCUGGAUCCGAUACUGACGCUGAGG